rnacentral:rRNA from 1 species
CACUCCUACGGGGAGGCAGCAGUAGGGAAUCUUCCACAAUGGGCGCAAGCCUGAUGGAGCAACACCGCGUGAGUGAAGAAGGGUUUCGGCUCGUAAAGCUCUGUUGUUAAAGAAGAACACGUAUGAGAGUAACUGUUCAUACGUUGACGGUAUUUAACCAGAAAGUCACGGCUAACUACGUGCCAGCAGCCGCGGUAAUACGUAGGUGGCAAGCGUUAUCCGGAUUUAUUGGGCGUAAAGAGAGUGCAGGCGGUUUUCUAAGUCUGAUGUGAAAGCCUUCGGCUUAACCGGAGAAGUGCAUCGGAAACUGGAUAACUUGAGUGCAGAAGAGGGUAGUGGAACUCCAUGUGUAGCGGUGGAAUGCGUAGAUAUAUGGAAGAACACCAGUGGCGAAGGCGGCUACCUGGUCUGCAACUGACGCUGAGACUCGAAAGCAUGGGUAGCGAACAGGAUUAGAUACCCUGGUAG